CGGAGGGUGCAAGCGUUACUCGGAAUCACUGGGCGUAAAGGGCGCGUAGGCGGAUUAUCAAGUCUCUUGUGAAAUCUAAUGGCUUAACCAUUAAACUGCUUGGGAAACUGAUAGUCUAGAGUGAGGGAGAGGCAGAUGGAAUUGGUGGUGUAGGGGUAAAAUCCGUAGAUAUCACCAAGAAUACCCAUUGCGAAGGCGAUCUGCUGGAACUCAACUGACGCUAAGGCGCGAAAGCGUGGGGAGCAAACAGGAUUAGAUACCCUGGUAGUCCACCCCCUAAACGAUGUACACUAGUUGUUGGGAUGCUAGUCAUCUCAGUAAUGCAGCUAACGCAUUAAGUGUACCGCCUGGGGAGUACGGUCGCAAGAUUAAAACUCAAAGGAAUAGACGGGGACCCGCACAAGCGGUGGAGCAUGUGGUUUAAUUCGAAGAUACGCGAAGAACCUUACCUGGGCUUGAUAUCCUAAGAACCUUAUAGAGAUAAGAGGGUGCUAGCUUGCUAGAACUUAGAGACAGGUGCUGCACGGCUGUCGUCAGCUCGUGUCGUGAGAUGUUGGGUUAAGUCCCGCAACGAGCGCAACCCACGUAUUUAGUUGCUAACGGUUCGGCCGAGCACUCUAAAUAGACUGCCUUCGUAAGGAGGAGGAAGGUGUGGACGACGUCAAGUCAUCAUGGCCCUUAUGCCCAGGGCGACACACGUGCUACAAUGGCAUAUACAAUGAGACGCAAUACCGCGAGGUGGAGCAAAUCUAUAAAAUAUGUCCCAGUUCGGAUUGUUCUCUGCAACUCGAGAGCAUGAAGCC
rnacentral:rRNA from 1 species